rnacentral:rRNA from 1 species
GAUGAACGCUGGCGGCGUGCCUAAUACAUGCAAGUCGAGCGAACAGACGAGGAGCUUGCUCCUCUGACGUUAGCGGCGGACGUGUGAGUAACACGUGUAUAACCUACCUAUAAUACUGGUAUAACUUCGGGAAACCGGAGCUAAUACCGGAUAAUAUAUUGAACCGCAUGGUUCAAUAGUGAAAGACGGUUUUGCUGUCACUUAUAGAUGGAUCCGCGCCGCAUUAGCUAGUUGGUAAGGUAACGGCUUACCAAGGCAACGAUGCGUAGCCGACCUGAGAGGCGGAUCGGCCACCCUGGAACGGAGACACGGUCCAGACUACUAAGGGAGGGAGCAGUAGGGAACCUUCCGCAAUAGGGGAAAGCAUGACGGAGCAACGCCGAGUGAGUGAUGAAGGUCUUCGGAUCGUAAAACUCUGUUAUUAGGGAAGAACAACUGUGUACGUAAAUAUGCACGUCUUGACGGUAACUAAUCAGAAAGCAACGGCUAACUACGUG